AGCCCUGUGGUCUAGUGGUCAAGGACACGAGCCUUUGGCGCUCGUAACCCCGGUUCGAAUCCGGGCAGGGCUA
rnacentral:tRNA from 1 species